rnacentral:rRNA from 1 species
AGUGGACGCUGGCGGUAGGCCUAACACAUGCAAGUCGAACGGCAGCACAGUAAGAGCUUGCUCUUACGGGUGGCGAGUGGCGGACGGGUGAGGAAUACAUCGGAAUCUACUUUUUCGUGGGGGAUAACGUAGGGAAACUUACGCUAAUACCGCAUACGACCUACGGGUGAAAGCAGGGGAUCUUCGGACCUUGCGCGAUUGAAUGAGCCGAUGUCGGAUUAGCUAGUUGGCGGGGUAAAGGCCCACCAAGGCGACGAUCCGUAGCUGGUCUGAGAGGAUGUUCGGCAAAACUGGGACUGAGACACGGUCCGGACUCCUACGGGAGGCAGCAGUGGGGAAUAUUGGACAAUGGGCGCAAGCCUGAUCCAGCCAUACCGCGUGGGUGAAGAAGGCCUUCGGGUUGUAAAGCCCUUUUGUUGGGAAAGAAAAGCAGCAGGUUAAUACCCCGCUGUUCUGACGGUACCCAAAGAAUAAGCACCGGCUAACUUCGUG